UACAGAGGAGCCAAGCGUUGUCCGGAUUGACUGGGCGUAAAGCGCACGCAGGCGGUUGCUCGCGUGGGGGGUGAAAUCUGGCCGCUUAACGGCCAGGCGCCAUCCCAUACGGCGCGACUGGAGUGAUGCAGAGGUCGAUGGAAUUGCCGGUGUAGUGGUGAAAUGCGUAGAGAUCGGCAGGAACACCCAGGGGGAAACCAGUCGACUGGGCAUCUACUGACGCUGAGGUGCGAGAGCGUGGGGAGCGAACCGG
rnacentral:rRNA from 1 species